rnacentral:rRNA from 1 species
AUUGAACGCUGGCGGCAUGCCUUACACACGCAAGUCGAACGGCAGCACGGGAGCUUGCUCCUGGUGGCGAGUGGCGAACGGGUGAGUAAUACAUCGGAACGUACCCAGGAGUGGGGGAUAACGUAGCGAAAGUUACGCUAAUACCGCAUAUUCUGUGAGCAGGAAAGCGGGGGACCGCAAGACCUCGCGCUCUUGGAGCGGCCGAUGUCGGAUUAGCUAGUUGGUGAGGUAAAAGCUCACCAAGGCGACGAUCCGUAGCAGGUCUGAGAGGAUGAUCUGCCACACUGGGAGUGAGACACGGCCCAGACUCCUACGGGAGGCAGCAGUGGGGAAUUUUGGACAAUGGGGGCAACCCUGAUCCAGCCAUGCCGCGUGAGUGAAGAAGGCCUUCGGGUUGUAAAGCUCUUUCGGCGGGGAAGAAAUGGCAACGGCUAAUAUCCGUUGUUGAUGACGGUACCCGCAUAAGAAGCACCGGCUAACUACGUGCCAGCAGCCGCGGUAA